CCAAGAGUUAUGCACCUUUCACCGACGUAAACAACGCACGCCUCGAGUCAAACGUAACGUGCUGCCAUUUCCAUCCGGCAACUGGAUUGUUUUACUUGUUCCAUUGCUGUCUUUUGAUAGUAAGAAGAACACAGGGGCACAGCAGGUCGUGCCCAGUCUGCGAUCCAAUUCAAGCCAAGGCAUUGCACUUCACAUCAAUCACCACCAUAUGAUUUAAAAGGCGUUGCUUACAAACCUGAAUAACAAUUCCACAUUUUCUUUUGAAGAUCUAAGAAAGAUCAGAGAACAGAAAGACUAGCUGUAAUACAAUGGCUCGAGCCUCAUACAGGAGAAGAUCAAGGCCAAGACGACGACGGCAGAGUCGGGGGCAGCCAGAUGAUGGAGCAGGAAAUAUGCUCAGGAUUGCUGUGCCUGUGCUAACUAUUGGAAUUUGCAUGCUUGUUGGAUAUAUCUACUUCACCUCAAUCCCUGAAGAUGAAUGAAUUUGAAUCAAGAGUGUGGUGGUUGAAGUUGUGGACAGCAGUUUAUCUAUGCAGCCAAACAUCUAUAAUGAGGGUUAAACCUAUGAUCAAUAUCAUGAUCAUUCAACAUACAAGACUUCCUGUUGGAAUGUUUGUUUUGAGGAUUGUCACAGGUCUUCCAUCGCAUGUUGCUCAAUCUGAUGCACAUUCAAAAGCACACACAUGCAAACGGCACAGAGCACGUGGAAUUUGAGAUUAGGUUAGCAAGCAGCAAUAAAAAGGGUCUUGUUGCAAAGCUCUGAACCUUGUUACAACAGAGAAAGCUGUUGAAAGGUGUAAAUGAAAUUAAGUGUGCAUUAAGUAUAUCUAGAUGGAGAGAAACAUUUUCUAUGCAUAACUCUCUGUCAGCACUGGAUCACUUUUUUCGUUCCAAGCUAAGAUAACUCUGUCUCAUGAAAGUUGGUUUUUUUAUUCACCAGUGGCCAUUAAUAUUUGAGUGAGACUGGAAAUAUUGAAUAUUUUUGUCAUUUAUGAUUCUCCACAUGCAAGAUUGUCAUACUUUUGUGUGAUGAAACUACAUUCCACUCAAUAAAAAGCAGGGUGCAUUCAUAGGACUUUUGUCCCAUUCAGUAUUGCUUAAAUUACUGUUUAAUUUAGACUUAACAGCUGCUGGUGAAUUCCUGGUACUCAUACUUCUCACUGCCUUUUUAAAUGUGACCUGACCUCUUCCACUAGUAUUAUUUGUUUGGGCAGAUUUGUGGACAGAUCCUUGUGCUGCAGCAUUUUAUUUUUUUCACUGUUGGACCAGUCUAGUCAUUCUUUCAAGGUGCAACACAGCUGAAUGUUUAGUGCCCUAACUGAUAUGAUUUCAUCAUAAAAGGCAGCUGCCUACUUGUUUAUUACUAUUGUAUUAAACAAUAGCUUUUUGCAAGUA